GGGAGGCAUUCUUCAUCACAAUGUAAAGAUUCUUUUUCAUUGUAUCUUGUUGGGCACUUCCACGAGGGCCAUUCCAGCAAAGAGACUUUUCAGAAGAGCAGAUUUCUGCAGUUCCAGAAUCUAAAAGUCUCACCUUGAAGGAGGAGGUGGAACGUGGGAUUUCGUCAUUCCAACCCAUGCAACUAUUCCAACAGCAAGGAUGACCCAUCCAAAUAUGUCAUACUUGAGAUCGCUGCUCUUUUUCUUGGAACUCUUUGGGUUUGAAGCGGCAGUAGCUCCCCCGCCUGAAGGCCCUGCACUCUGUUGACCGAUGCCAUGCUUGUGGAUCUCCGAAUGAAACUCCGGUGCCUUUGCAGUGACUUCCAAGGACUUGUGAUAUAGUUCAUUACUAGGAUCCUCAUCUACUGCCUUCUGGAAACACUCAUGUGCUUUAUCAAAAUAGACUUUGGCCUCGUCCCCAUCGGGAGUCAGAAAAGCAUGGGAAGUGUGAGCAUUUCCAAGACACCAGAGAGCAUCAUGCUUCG
rnacentral:misc_RNA from 1 species